rnacentral:rRNA from 1 species
UACGGAGGGUGCGAGCGUUGUCCGGAAUUAUUGGGCGUAAAGAGCUCGUAGGCGGUUUGUCGCGUCUGCUGUGAAAACCUAGGGCUUAACCCUGGGCCUGCAGUGGGUACGGGCAGACUAGAGUGCGGUAGGGGAGACUGGAAUUCCUGGUGUAGCGGUGAAAUGCGCAGAUAUCAGGAGGAACACCGGUGGCGAAGGCGGGUCUCUGGGCCGUAACUGACGCUGAGGAGCGAAAGCAUGGGGAGCGAACAGG